AACGGCUGAUUUGUGACAUCGCACCUCACUGCUUCUAUGGGCAAUGCUGGCUCAGCCUAGCAGAAGGCAGUACACGACAGGGAGAAGUAAAGGAAGAGAUCAUGAAGUUUAAGGCAAACUAUUCAAUUCUACAUCUUCCUCCUGGAGGCCUGGAGACUGGAGCAGUACGUGCUACUCAAAUGCGCUCUUUAGGAGUGUUGAGUUUCAGAGAACAUCACAGAAGUUAACUUCAUGCUGCUUUCAGAAAGACUGAUGGUAGAGGCUUGCUUGUCAUCACAUUGUCAUCUUGUCCAAAGAGACUGGAUCGCAAUAAGUUAAAGCUCUGGUGUGACACAG